rnacentral:rRNA from 1 species
UACGAAGGGGGCUAGCGUUAUUCGGAAUCACUGGGCGUAAAGGGCACGUAGGCGGAUGUGUCAGUCAGGGGUGAAAUCCCGGGGCUCAACCUCGGAACUGCCUCUGAUACAGCAAGUCUUGAGUCCGGAAGAUGUGGGUGGAAUUCCUAGUGUAGAGGUGAAAUUCGUAGAUAUUAGGAAGAACACCGGUGGCGAAGGCGACCCACUGGUCCGGUACUGACGCUGCGGUGCGAACGCGUGGGGAACAAACAGG